rnacentral:rRNA from 1 species
UACGUAGGGGGCAAGCGUUGUCCGGAUUUAUUGGGCGUAAAGAGCGUGUAGGCGGCCACACAGGUCUGCUGUGAAAACUCGAGGCUCAACCUCGAGCUGUCGGUGGAAACCGUGUGGCUAGAGUCCGGAAGAGGAGAGUGGAAUUCCCGGUGUAGCGGUGAAAUGCGCAGAUAUCGGGAAGAACACCCGUGGCGAAGGCGGCUCUCUGGGACGGUACUGACGCUGAGACGCGAAAGCGUGGGGAGCGAACGGG